GUAGGGUGCGAGCGUUAAUCGGAAUUACUGGGCGUAAAGCGUGCGCAGGCGGUGAUGUAAGACAGAUGUGAAAUCCCCGGGCUCAACCUGGGAACUGCAUUUGUGACUGCAUCGCUGGAGUGCGGCAGAGGGGGAUGGAAUUCCGCGUGUAGCAGUGAAAUGCGUAGAUAUGCGGAGGAACACCGAUGGCGAAGGCAAUCCCCUGGGCCUGCACUGACGCUCAUGCACGAAAGCGUGGGGAGCAAACAGGAUUAGAUACCCUGGUAGUCCACGCCCUAAACGAUGUCAACUGGUUGUUGGUCCUUCACUGGAUCAGUAACGAAGCUAACGCGUGAAGUUGACCGCCUGGGGAGUACGGCCGCAAGGKKG
rnacentral:rRNA from 1 species